AGAGAAAGAACAGUACAUGUCCAAGACAUCAAUGACAAGAUUCUCAAGAGACAGAAGUCCUAAAUUCCUGCACCAAUAACACUUGGAAUAAGAAAUAAUAUUUAGGCAUUGGGUUUCUUUUUCUAUUUUUGAAAUAAUUGUUUAUUGUUUGUGUGAAUACACAUACAUUCAUGCAGUGUGGACAAUUUGUAGGAGUUGGUUUUACUUCUAAUGUGUGGGUUCCAGGGAUUGAACUCAGGUUGUCAGGCUUGGCAGGGAGUGCCUUUACCUAUUGAACCAUUCUGCUGGCCCUAGUUACUGGAUUUCUUAACUUGUAGGGAUGAAUAGGGAAAUCUAACUCACAGUAGGUUGCCUUGACAAGGUACAAGUUCCAUUAGACUUGGCCAGUUCCUAUCAUGAGGAACAGCAUAGGAGUGCAGCUUUAGUUGCUGUUCUGUGAGUGAUAUUUUUUUCUUCAUCAGGAGGAGAAUAUGAAAAGCUGAUAUGCUAUACAGAUUGCAGAGAGUUCUAGAUCUGCUUUAUAAAGAACAAAUAAAAACAUACAGAUGCCAAGACAAAAAGACAACUUAUGGAAGACAGAUCAUAAGUAUAAAAUAAAAGAAUUCAUAUAGAUUAACAUGGACUGGGAUAGUUGACCAGGGGAUUAAAUGGGUGGGAGUGUUAUAAGCAAAACAGUCAAAGGGACUGUAAAAUAGUAACUUUUAUUUCUUUAAAAAUACAUUAAAAUUUUUAUUACUACCUGUCAUGCUCAGAUACAUAUCAUAGGAUAAAAUUUCCCUAAAAUAUAAAAUGGAAUGUUAUGUCUUUAAAAGAUGGUGAUGGCUAAAGACAUCUGCUUCUGUGGCCCACUCCAGGUCAUCUGCAGGAUCUACAGGCCUUCAGGAAGGGUAGAAAGGGUUUGCAGCAACAUGGCCAGUGAGCCACAGCCUCAUGGUGACCAGAGAGCUCGCCUCCCAGCACUGUUCUCAAUGGCUUCUUCCAAAAGACUGUCAGAUGCAACAAAAACACAGUGAAAAGGGAGAAGGGAGUCGGAAAGAGACAGGUUCUUGGCAUCUGCUCACAAUCCAGCCUGUAUUUCUGCCCACAGUGACUGGCCAGAGGAGCAGUGUCCAGCGAGGGGCAAGGAACCUGUGUACUCGGCACUCCACUGACCAGCGGGGGAUCUUUAAUACUCCCUCACAUUGUGUACUUUUGAUCACUUGAUGGGAGCACUUGAUGGAAGCACUCGUUGGGAGGAUGUUAAGGAUUAGAGAACAGUUCUCAGACUGAAUUGUUUUUUCAGGAAAAAAAAAGU
rnacentral:lncRNA from 1 species